rnacentral:snRNA from 15 species
AUACUUACCUGGACGGGGUCAAUGGGCGAUCAUGAACACCCAUGGCCUAGGUUGGUGACCAUCAUUGCACUUUGAAGGGGUGCCCGCCUAAGGUCGGCCCAAGUGGUCGAGCCUACGUCAUAAUUUGUUGCUGAGGGGGCCUGCGUUCGCGCGGCCCCUGC